rnacentral:ncRNA from 1 species
AGGAAAGUAGGAAAGGGCGCAUGGCGGAUGCCUUGGCUCUCGGAGGCGAUGAAGGACGUGAUAAGCUGCGAUAAGUCACGGGGAGGUGCAAAUAACCCUUGAUCCGUGAAUCUCCGAAUGGGACAACCCGUUACCUUGAAGAGGUAACAUCCAUCAAUGAUGGAGGCUAACGCAGGGAACUGAAACAUCUUAGUACCUGCAGGAAAAGAAAAUAACAAUGAUUCCCCCAGUAGUGGCGAGCGAACGGGGAAGAGCCCAAACCGUUCAUGUUACGGCAUGGACGGGGUUGUAGGACCGCGUCGUUGCAAGAAAUUUUGCGAGAAGAACGAUCUGGAAAGUUCGGCCGAAGACGGUGACAGCCCGGUAUUCUAAGCAAGACGAAGCAUAGCGGUAUCCUGAGUAGCGCGGAACACGAGGAAUUCUGCGUGAAUCUGCCGGGACCAUCCGGUAAGGCUAAAUACUCCCGAGAGACCGAUAGUGGACCAGUACCGUGAGGGAAAGGUGAAAAGCACUUCGAACAGAAGAGUGAAAUAGUACCUGAAACCGUGCGCCUACAAGCGGUCGGAGCACGAAAGUGUGACGGCGUGCCUUUUGCAUAAUGAACCUACGAGUUGCCGUCUUUGGCAAGGUUAAGGGACAUGAGUCCCGCAGCCGAAGCGAAAGCGAGUCUGAACAGGGCGUCAAGUCAGCGGCGGCAGACGCGAAACCAAGUGAUCUACCCUUGGCCAGGA